AGUUUCGUCCCUGGAAAGUAAGAACCGUAACGUGGUUACUGCUGACAUCGCUCGUCUGUGAAAGGAAGGGGUUUUGCAAGCACUUGGCAAAACCAUUGUUCAUGAAUCGACCCUGGGUUUCUGGGCACCCUGUGUUCUGAGGGUUACGAAUGCUACCCAGAAGGCAGAAGGGCCGAGAAUCAACAGGACGGAGGAGAGGAUGCAGUUCAUGGUUCGCGAGGAUAGAAGCUGUGGUAGUAUUUCUCUUAAAAAUUACCAAAGGGGAGACCAGAUGCCACCUCUGCUCUUCCGGCUUGCUCUGAGAUCAAGUCUGCAGAAGGUUUCCUUAAAAUCAGUGUUGAUGUGCUAGUCAAAACCAAGUUACAGAACAAACCUAGGAGGACAAAAAGCAUUUGCACAAAAAAGGAAGGAGGGGACACUGACCACAGUGGGAUUCUGAGUGACCACGUGGAAAGAAGCUGCCCAUUGACCAGAAACACCUGCCUCGGUCCUUCACGAGCAAGAAACAAACUACUCCAUCAGACUACUGGAAUCUGGAGGUGUAUUUGUUGUCACAUCGGUGUUACACAGGUUAAUAGGGCACCGAUUUUAAAAAUUGACUUGGUGUUUUCUUGAUUCACACGUGUACACAGCCAACCUUUUAACCGGGCGGAAUGUUUCCUUUGUGUGAGCUGAACUACAGGCCCGAUUUUCUUUCUUCCCCCACCUGGUAGGACCUUUAUGGUGUGGGUCCUGUGUGUCACACCUGGCUGAGAACUGCUUGCUUUUAUAUACUAUUAAUUUUGCGUGUGCUUCCCCCACUUCCAUGAAUUCUUACGGGCGAUGCUGACAUUUCCAGCAUGAGGAAUGUUUUGCACAAAUCAGAGGUGCUCUGCUGGAACCUGAAACACAUUACCUUGAAAGAAAUACCAUAUUUACUCACAUAAAUCUAAAAGGCCACAUUUGUGAGGGUGGAAGCCAGACCGAGGAGCUUGAUUUGGGAGGCAAUGGGGAGCCAUUGUAAGUUCUCUAGCAGGGGAAUGAUAUGACUGAAGAGGUGUUUUAGGAAGAUGAAUCUGAUAGCAACACACCAAAGAAACGAGAAAGAAAAUAGCUCAGAGGCCUAGGGACCAACUGUUGCAACAACCCAGUUGUGAAAUAAAGAGGUCUCGUCUGGGAUGACGACGCCAGUGGGAAUGGAAACAGGUGAUGAGGUGAG
rnacentral:lncRNA from 1 species